UCCUUAUUAGCUCAGUUGGUAGAGCGUUCGGCUUUUAAGACCGAAAUGUCCAGGGUUCGAGCCCCUGAUGAGGAG